ACGCUCGACACCUACGGGAGGGCAGCAGUGGGGAAUAUUGCACAAUGGGGGAAACCCUGAUGCAGCGAUGCCGCGUGAAGGAAGAAGUAUCUCGGUAUGUAAACUUCUAUCAGCAGGGAAGAAAAUGACGGUACCUGACUAAGAAGCCCCGGCUAACUACGUGCCGGCAGCCGCGGUAAUCUGAGCGGGCUGGCAAGGC
rnacentral:rRNA from 1 species